GUCCACGCCCUAAACGAUGUUUACUUGCUGUUCGGCUUUCGGGCUGAGUGGCGAAGCGAAAGCGAUAAGUAAACCACCUGGGGAGUACGCCCGCAAGGGUGAAACUCAAAGGAAUUGACGGGGGUCGCACAAGCGGUGGAGCAUGUGGUUUAAUUCGAUGAUACGCGAGGAACCUUACCUGGGCUAGAAUGUGAGAGACCGCUAGUGAAAGCUAGUUUCCCCGCAAGGGGCUCGAAACAAGGUGCUGCAUGGCUGUCGU
rnacentral:rRNA from 1 species